CGUAACAAGGUUUCCGUAGGUGAACCUGCGGAAGGAUCAUUAUUGAAAACAAGGGUGUCCAAUUUAACUUGGAACCCGUACUUCUCAAUUCUAACUUUGUGCAUCUGUAUUAUGGCGAGCAGUCUUCGGAUUGUGAGCCUUCACUUAUAAACACUAGUCUAUGAAUGUAAAAUUUUUAUAACAAAUAAAAACUUUCAACAACGGAUCUCUUGGCUCUCGCAUCAAUGAAGAACGCAGCGAAAUGCGAUACGUAAUGUGAAUUGCAGAAUUCAGUGAAUCAUCGAAUCUUUGAACGCAUCUUGCGCUCUCUGGUAUUCCGGAGAGCAUGUCUGUUUGAGUGUCAUGAAUUCUUCAACCCAAUCUUUUCUUGUAAUCGAUUGGUGUUUGGAUUUUGAGCGCUGCUGGCUUCGGCCUAGCUCGUUCGUAAUACAUUAGCAUCCCUAAUACAAGUUUGGAUUGACUUGGCGUAAUAGACUAUUCGCUAAGGAUUCGGUGGAAACAUCGAGCCAACUUCAUUAAGGAAGCUCCUAAUUCAAAAGUCUACCUUUUGAUUAGAUCUCAAAUCAGGCAGGAUUACCCGCUGAACUUAAGC
rnacentral:rRNA from 1 species